rnacentral:rRNA from 1 species
GUGCCAGCCGCCGCGGUAAUACAGAGACUGCAAGCGUUACUCGGAUUCACUGGGCGUAAAGGGAGCGCAGGCGGACUGGUGUGUCAGGCGUGAAAUCUCGGGGCUCAACCCCGAGGCUGCGCCCGAAACUACUAGUCUAGAGACUUGGAGGGGUAAGCGGAAUUCUUGGUGGAGCAGUGAAAUGCGUAGAUAUCAAGAGGAACACCAACGGCGAAGGCAGCUUACUGGACAAGAUCUGACGCUCAGGCUCGAAAGCGUGGGGAGCAAAAGGGAUUAGAUACCCCUGUAGUCCACGCUGUAAACGGUGCGCAUUAGGUCUCGGAGCUUUCGAACGCUUCGGGGCUCAAGCUAACGCAUUAAAUGCGCCGCCUGAGGACUACGGCCGCAAGGCUAAAACUCAAAGGAAUUGACGGGG